rnacentral:rRNA from 1 species
UACGUAGGUGGCAAGCGUUGUCCGGAUUUACUGGGCGUAAAGAGCGCGCAGGCGGUCGUUCAAGUCGCGUGUGAAAGCCCCCGGCUCAACUGGGGAGGGUCACGCGAUACUGAUCGACUCGAAGGCAGGAGAGGGAAGUGGAAUUCCCGGUGUAGUGGUGAAAUGCGUAGAUAUCGGGAGGAACACCAGUGGCGAAGGCGGCUUCCUGGACCGGUUCUGACACUGAGGAGCGAAAGCGUGGGGAGCGAUCCGG